GUUUCCGAGGCGCUGCAUUCAGUGGCCGCUGGGUGGUCUGUCCCCUUCUCUCCUCCUGAGGGGCUCCGUCAGUGCGCCGCUCACACCGUCGUCAUCUUCUGGUCUUCAUCCUCACAGCUGACAUGGCUGACCUUCAGAGUUUCUCACCACCUCCCUCAUUAAGCGUUGCUGAUUUCUUUUCAUUUUCAUUCUCGUCACCUUCAGUGGACCUUUUCGUUGCCGCACUUUCCACUCGAAGGUGGGCAGAGGAGGGCCACCAGGUGCACCCCAACACUUCAGGACAUGUCCUACUGUCACAGACUCCGAGACUUGACCCCGUGUAGUGUCAGGCAGUGUGGAGAGCUCAUCGAGGUCCUCAGAAUCCUCCAAGCUGAUCUUAUAAGAAUUCUGAGAGCUCAACGGCAGUCAUGUCCUCGAGGACACCAAACGUCCAUUUAGGCCUGAUGCCAGGAGCAGUUGUGGGAGUCUGCAACAAACUACCAAGCCUUGGAGCUGAAGGAGAAACCUGGAGACCCUUUACGAAUGAUCUGGAGCAGAUAUGGGGACAGCUUAACUAUCAGCUUAAGGAACGGGUGACAGAAGGACUGGAUAGUCGCCUCAUGUUUGUCACAUUUCCUCUGUUCUUAUUAUGCUAUCCAAUGCUGAGAUGACAACUAGUGAUGAACAUUCAGCCCUGUGAUUGGCUCUCAUUACGUUGCCUAAACUAUUGUAAUGGUGCAACCAGGGGGCAUCAGCCUGGGUUUGAGUCGCCAUCUGCCAGGGAGUCUAAGCAAACUUGUGCAAAUCGCAUCAGAAUGACAUCUGAUGUGACAACAGUGAGCGGUCCUUCUACCUAAAAGAGUGUGAAGCCAUUGGCCCUCGAUGCCACCAAGCAUCUUGUACUGAAGGUUGUCUCCUUGGCAAAAUGACACAAAUUCAGGAGAAGUGUGCAUUAGCUUGGGGUGAGAGGGAAGAAAAAGAAGGAGUGAGCAGAGCGACUGAGCAAAGAGUGACCAGCUUGUCCAUUCAGUUUGGUGUCAUUUGUAGGGCACAGGCGCAGGGCACUAGAGUGACUUUGCAGACCACCAAUGGUGCAAAUCCCAUAAACGCCUAAAGUGCACACAAGACGUUGAACCUACCAGGUGGACCCUUCUGACAUGACAGAUGACAUUGAGGUGACACCUGACAUCAAGGGAGCUCACAAGCCACGCUGAACAUGAAAAUGCAACUGGCCACCAUGAGAGAAUGUCAAAGUCUGGUAGUGACAUGUUGGGGUCCCUGUGUUGACUCAUCUUACUAAGUUGUGUUUUCUUGUGUGUUGAUGCCACCUUCGUCCUCCUCACCUCCUCUUCUUCAGUUCUUCAUGUUCUUCUCUCCACCUGUCAGGAGGUCAUUGGGACCUUGGGGCGCCAUCUGCAAGUGUCAGACCUCCGCUGUUGGUCCGCACCGUGACCCGGUGAUGUCCGAGUUCCUAGUCAAGGUCGGACGUCACUGUGGACUUCUCUUCUGCAGUCGCUUUGGAUGGAAGCUUCUGGUAAGAAGACAAAUGUGAGCGCACCUGGUCCAGGUAGAUGAGAACGUGAAACUAAAAUACGCCAUCAGUUGGCGCUGCUCCCACACAGUUCUGUGAUCUCAGGUUUGAAUGCCACGGGCGGCUGUGUCGAGUUUGCACCUUCUCCCCGUGUGCCAGUCUUGUGCUUUAUUACCCACACUUGGCGCUAACUGCAUGCAACUCGCGUGUAAAACAAGUUAAGCGGAGCCAUUGACACGCCAACUGGGGGGCACCACGUAAAUGAGCAGGACCGGGCUUUGGACUUCGGGGGGACGGUAGGGCAGCGGUCCAAGCACACAUUUACACCCGAGUGCACAGCUUGACCCAGGGCUGUCACCUGCUGACAACGUCUUACUCACAAACGGACCUUCGUGAGAGGUGUGAGCCCACCCAGCAGUGCCCAUUAAGGGGGUCACUAUGAAAUCCUUGAAAUUGAUGACGAGGACGAACCCCUGACUCCAUCAACGCACAACUAAGAGAUGAAGUGCCAUCGCAGCGUUUGGAGGGAAGUCCCAAAAGCCUGAGACCGGCAGUCGUCGGCACGCGUCAUACCCCCUCAUUUCAUUUGUCACCGUAAGCCACACAGUCACUCGGCGACAAGUCACAAGCGUCACAAGGCCCUGAAGAUGCGACGGCGACAGCUUGAUCUCCUGCGCUGCGUGACACUAGCGCUGCUGGCCACUCCUUCGUGGUCCGCCACUCUUUUCCAGCCGAGCUCCGUGGUGCUCAAGGACGGCAAACCGGCACGGAUCGAGUGUCGCGUCGGGGGCUCCUCGACCCGGGACACCACGUUUUACUGGUACCGUCAGAAAGGCGACACGGAGCUGCUCUGGAUUCUGUACUAUCAGGACACCUCGACUCAGGAAAAAGCGGAGUCGUUCGCCGGGAGAUUCUCCUCCACGAAACAGCGGGACCGACAGGCGGCCUUCUUGAUCAUAACGGAGACGAGCAGAGCCGACGAGGCCACCUACUUCUGCGCAGUCUGGUCAGCGCACCGCCACACAGGCGCUCGAGCGGGCGACACAAAAACGUGUCAAGUGCGCCGCCAGCUGGCCAUACCGCAAUCGAACAGAUCGCAAUGCGCGUGCGCACCCGGCGACUCGCAGCUCCGUGUUGUCAGUGUCAGCCGCAGUUUGGUGGCCCCAGAUGUUCAUUCAGAAAUCUCUACCUGCAUUAAUAGACGUGAGGCCAGGUAGCCGUGCCAUCUUCAGGUGGACCGUUCAGCAAAAUCGUUAAUGCCAUGGAAUACACGCGAAUGCAUGGCGCUGCUCGCAAAUGUCCAUCGCGUCCACACCUUAGGGCCACGGCGGACAGGUGAGCCGAGCAGACGACAUCGCGCAUCUGCAUCUGCAUCUGCACAGCCUUACGGAGGACAAGAAUACAACGGA